CCUACGGGAGGCAGCAGUGGGGAAUCUUGCGCAAUGGGCGAAAGCCUGACGCAGCAACGCCGCGUGCGGGAUGAAGGCCUUCGGGUUGUAAACCGCUUUUAACAGGAACGAAAAUGACGGUACCUGUAGAAUAAGGUGCGGCCAACUACGUGCCAGCAGCCGCGGUGACACGUAGGCACCAAGCGUUGUCCGGAUUUAUUGGGCGUAAAGAGCUCGUAGGCGGUUCAGUAAGUCGGGUGUGAAAACUCUGGGCUUAACCCAGAGACGCCACUCGAUACUAUUGUGACUAGAGUUCGGUAGGGGAGCGGGGAAUUCCUAGUGUAGCGGUGAAAUGCGCAGAUAUUAGGAGGAACACCGGUGGCGAAGGCGCCGCUCUGGGCCGAUACUGACGCUGAGGAGCGAAAGCGUGGGUAGCAAACAGGAUUAGAUACCCUGGUAGUCCACGCCGUAAACGGUGGGCACUAGGUGUGGGCUCCAACCAACGGAGUCCGCGCCGUCGCUAACGCAUUAAGUGCCCCGCCUGGGGAGGUACGGCCGCAGUAAACGUACAAGAAUAGACGCGNGAGACNGCGACGCGACGACGAGGGAGAG
rnacentral:rRNA from 1 species